UCCAAACAAAAUCCAGACACAACCAAAAGAACACCAUCCCAUCCGAUCCAACCCUUUCCCCCACGGGGGGUCCCAGGACAGGGGCACAAGAUCCGGGCGGACCACCAGCACAUGUCCCCACAACUGAAAUCGGUCUUCUUCCGAGCAAAUACGGCGCGCCCUAAGGAACUGGCCAGUUGGGAUGCUCCUCCGCAAAGUGACCGGAUGCCAACUAGUCCAGUGAAGGAGACUAUUUGUCGAGGCGCUGAAAUUCCUUGAUGUCCCGUUUGGAAAUAUGUAUUGGAGGGAUUAACUGUUUUCUUUAUUUCGGAGUGCUUAAAAUGUCCAUGAAUCCAUAUGCGGGACGCCGGAGCAGAAUCAGGUUAAAACCGUGAUAAUAGCCAUAUCGCGCCUUCUCUUCGGCGCUUCAUCAGACCACACCUAACCUCAGGUGAGUGAAAAGGUAAAUACCUGAUAUCACGUGACACCCCAGGGUAGGGGCGUUU